CGGGGUGAGUAACGCGUAGGAACCUAUCGCGCAGUGGGGGAUACCGCUGGGAAACCGGUGUUAAUACCGCAUGUGGUCAGCGAUGACGAAAGCAGCAAUGCGCUGUGUGAGGGGCCUGCGUCCGAUUAGCUAGUUGGUGGGGUAAAGGCCUACCAAGGCGACGAUCGGUAGCUGGUCUGAGAGGAUGGUCAGCCACACUGGGACUGAGACACGGCCCAG
rnacentral:rRNA from 1 species